GGGGAUGUAGCUCAUAUGGUAGAGCGCUCUCUUUGCAUGCGAGAGGCACAGGGUUCGAUUCCCUGCAUCUCCA
rnacentral:tRNA from 1 species